rnacentral:lncRNA from 10 species
AUCACACCUGAGCAGAGGUGUCAUGACGGCAGAAGCACAUGCACUCCCCAGCUCCCACGCUCGUGCCAGACCCUGCAGAAGCUGCCAAUGCAACCGCAUUUCUCAUUGAUUCUUAGGCCUCUCCUGUGACACAGCACAGCUCUUCCUCCGCCGGACUCACAGGUCCCUUUGGCCAAACCCAGCAGAAGCCAGAGGGGAAGGAGACUCACAGAUGUAGCCCCGCAGGUCGGCGUCCAGGACCUAAGAGGGGUAGGACACGAGGAGAACCUGGGAGACAUGUGGAAGUUGCUGGGCACAAAUGACGGGGGACACCCUGAGGGACCCCAUUUGGAUGUGCUGAAGCCAGCAUGCUCACCCUCACAAUAUGUGUUCACUCUCAGCCUGGAGGACUUUUGACUCUUGCCAUGUCUGUGCCUUUAAAAAAUAACCAACUGUCAGCAACAAGGGAUACACUUUGAAAACCAAAACAGAAAUUCCCAAAGAAGCCAGGAGCCCAGAGACUGUGAUAAGGGGCAGCUGGGCAGGCCUGCAGCCCUCUGGCCAUGACGCCCAGCACUCCUCCUUGAGCAAGCGGGGUUUGGUACUGGGGUCAGUGAUGAGCAAGACUCGGCCCCUGCCCCAGGGACACCUAAGCUAGCGGGGCU